UAACUUCGGAAGCAAUGAGAUGGGGGACGCGCUUGCAACAGCAAAGGGCAGUGAUCCGAGCCCACAGGAGGUAAAGCAUAAACUUCUGCAGAAGGGAAAGACGUCAGCCAAUCCAGAGAACAAAACGCCCGAUCUAACUUCUCCUUUACAAGAUCAUCCCCUUCACGGUGAUUGGACCAGGUCUCUUACCCAUCUUCUCCCAGGGAGAAAGGAAAUCAUUAAAGUCACCAAGACAGAUCCAAGGUAAAUGAUUGGCAGCAUGUAUAAUUCUGAUAGUAUCCCAGAACUCUUGACGGAGUUGAUAUGAUGGGGGAGCAUGCAAGCAAGUGAUAUGCAUAGAGACAGAAGUUCGAGGAUCACAGGCAAUGAAAUCAACAAACUGAUCAUCCAAAUGAA